GAUGAACGCUGGCGGCGUGCCUAAUACAUGCAAGUCGAGCGAACGGACGAGAAGCUUGCUUCUCUGAUGUUAGCGGCGGACGGGUGAGUAACACGUGGAUACCCUACCUAUAAGACUGGGAUAACUUCGGGAAACCGGAGCUAAUACCGGAUAAUAUUUUGAACCGCAUGGUUCAAAAGUGAAAGACGGUCUUGCUGUCACUUAUAGAUGGAUCCGCGCUGCAUUAGCUAGUUGGUAAGGUAACGGCUUACCAAGGCAACGAUGCAUAGCCGACCUGAGAGGGUGAUCGGCCACACUGGAACUGAGACACGGUCCAGACUCCUACGGGAGGCAGCAGUGGGGAAUCUUCAGCAAUGGGCGAAAGCCUGACGGAGCAACGCCGCGUGAGUGAUGAAGGUCUUCGGAUCGUAAAACUCUGUUAGUAGGGAAGAACAUAUGUGUAAGUAACUGUGCACAUCUUGACGGUACCUAAUCAGAAAGCCACGGCUAACUACGUG
rnacentral:rRNA from 1 species